GAUGAACGCUGGCGGCGUGCUUAACACAUGCAAGUCGAACGGUGAACGAGGGAGCUUGCUCCCUCCGGAUCAGUGGCGAACGGGUGAGUAACACGUGAGCAAUCUGCCCCGAACUCUGGGAUAAGCGCUGGAAACGGCGUCUAAUACCGGAUACGACGCGCGAAGGCAUCUUCUGUGCGUGGAAAGAAUUUCGGUUCGGGAUGAGCUCGCGGCCUAUCAGCUAGUUGGUGAGGUAACGGCUCACCAAGGCGACGACGGGUAGCCGGCCUGAGAGGGUGACCGGCCACACUGGGACUGAGACACGGCCCAGACUCCUACGGGAGGCAGCAGUGGGGAAUAUUGCACAAUGGGCGCAAGCCUGAUGCAGCAACGCCGCGUGAGGGACGACGGCCUUCGGGUUGUAAACCUCUUUUAGUAGGGAAGAAGCGAAAGUGACGGUACCUGCAGAAAAAGCACCGGCUAACUACGUGCCAGCCGCCGCGGUAAAAC
rnacentral:rRNA from 1 species